ACGGGCUUGGCGAAAUCAGCGGGGAAAGAAGACCCUGUUGAGCUUGACUCUAGUUUGGCAUUGUGAAGAGACAUGAGANGGUGUAGCAUAGGUGGGAGCGCAAGCGACCUUGAAAUACCACUACUUUUAUCGUUUCUUUACUUAUUCAGUCGAGCGGGGAGCGGGGCGCAAGCCCCUAGCUUCUGGAAUUAAGCUCUCGGCCUCGCUGUCGAGGGCGAUCCGCUCUGAAGACCGUGUCAGGCGGGGAGUUUGACUGGGGCGGUACAUCUGUCAAAAGGUAACGCAGGUGUCCUAAGGCGAGCUCAGCGAGGACAGAAACCUCGCGUAGAGCAAAAGGGCAAAAGCUCGCUUGAUUCUGAUUUUCAGUACGAAUACGGACCGUGAAAGCGUGGCCCAUCGAUCCUUUUGAAUUCGAGAGUUUCGAGCAAGAGGUGUCAGAAAAGUUACCACAGGGAUA
rnacentral:rRNA from 1 species